rnacentral:rRNA from 1 species
UGACGGAGCAUACCGCGUGAGGGAUGACGGCCUGUGGGUUGUAAACCUCUUUUCUCAAGGAAGAAGUUCUGACGGUACUUGAGGAAUAAGCAUCGGCUAACUCUGUGCCAGCAGCCGCGGUAAUACAGAGGAUGCAAGCGUUAUCCGGAAUCACUGGGCAUAAAGCGUCUGUAGGUGGUUUGGUAAGUCUGCUGUUAAAGACUGGGGCUCAACCCCAGAAAAGCAGUGGAAACUGCCAGACUUGAGUGUGGUAGAGGUAAAGGGAAUUCCUAGUGUAGCGGUGAAAUGCGUAGAUAUUAGGAAGAACACCAAUGGCGAAGGCACUUUACUGGGCCAUAACUGACACUGAGAGACGACAGCUAGGGGAGCAAAUGGGAUUAGAUACCCCAGUAGUCCUAGCCGUAAACGAUGGAUACUAGAUGUUGCACGUAUUAACCCGUGCAGUAUCGUAGCUAAGGCGUUAAGUAUCCCGCCUGGGAAGUACGCUCGCAAGAGUGAAACU